rnacentral:rRNA from 1 species
AGUGAACGCUGGCGGUAGGCCUAACACAUGCAAGUCGAACGGCAGCACAGUAAGAGCUUGCUCUUACGGGUGGCGAGUGGCGGACGGGUGAGGAAUACAUCGGAAUCUACUUUUUCGUGGGGGAUAACGUAGGGAAACUUACGCUGAUACCGCAUACGACCUACGGGUGGAAGCAGGGGAUCUUCGGACCUUGCGCGAUUGAAUGAGCCGAUGUCGGAUUAGCUAGUUGGCGGGGUAAAGGCCCACCAAGGCGACGAUCCGUAGCUGGUCUGAGAGGAUGAUCAGCCACACUGGAACUGAGACACGGUCCAGACUCCUACGGGAGGCAGCAGUGGGGAAUAUUGGACAAUGGGCGCAAGCCUGAUCCAGCCAUACCGCGUGGGUGAAGAAGGCCUUCGGGUUGUAAAGCCCUUUUGUUGGGAAAGAAAAGCAGCAGGUUAAUACCCCGCUGUUCUGACGGUACCCAAAGAAUAAGCACCGGCUAACUUCGU